rnacentral:rRNA from 1 species
UGGAGCGACGCCGCGUGGAGGAUGAAGGCCUUCGGGUUGUAAACUCCUGUCAUGCGGGAACAAGCAAGUGAUAGUACCGCAAGAGGAAGAGACGGCUAACUCUGUGCCAGCAGCCGCGGUAAUACAGAGGUCUCAAGCGUUGUUCGGAUUCAUUGGGCGUAAAGGGUGCGUAGGUGGUGACGCAAGUCUGGUGUGAAAUCUCGGAGCUCAACUCCGAAAUUGCACCGGAUACUGCGUGACUCGAGGACUGUAGAGGAGAUCGGAAUUCACGGUGUAGCAGUGAAAUGCGUAGAUAUCGUGAGGAAGACCAGUUGCGAAGGCGGAUCUCUGGGCAGUUCCUGACACUGAGGCACGAAGGCCAGGGGAGCAAACGGGAUUAGAUACCCCGGUAGUCCUGGCAGUAAACGGUGCACGUUUGGUGUGGGCGGGUUCAGACCCCGUCCGUGCCGGAGCUAACGCGUUAAACGUGCCGCCUGGGAAGUACGGUCGCAAGAUUA